rnacentral:rRNA from 1 species
AGCGAACGCUGGCGGCAGGCCUAACACACGCAAGUCGAACGAAGUCUUCGGACUUAGUGGCGGACGGGUGAGUAACACGUGGGAACGUACCUUUUGGUUCGGAACAACUCAGGGAAACUUGAGCUAAUACCGAAUGUGCCCUUCGGGGAAAGAUUUAUCGCCAUUAGAGCGGCCCGCGUUAGAUUAGCUAGUUGGUGGGG